rnacentral:lncRNA from 1 species
AGAUUUUAACUUUAGUCGGGAUAUUCAAUCUCCAAAUGGCAGACGUUACAGCGUCCAUGGCCCCCCCUGUUAAAAUCGGAACGGCGAAAAAUAGAUCCAGAAAAUAACUUAAUGCAAGAAAAAAAAAAAGGAUAAGCGGAAAGAACACACCGAUAAUUACGUGGUUCGGCCAACGGCCUACGUCCACGGGCGAAGACGGAGCAAAUAAUUUAUUAAUGUCGAAAAGGCGGAGUACAAAGAAAAUCUCUCAAAAGACCAAAGCUUAAUUAGAUCCGAAACGCCGCAACAAAGCAACU